rnacentral:rRNA from 1 species
GAUGAACGCUGGCGGCGUGCCUAAUACAUGCAAGUCGAGCGAAGCGGGGACGGGUGAGUAACUCGUGGAUAACCUCCUAUCAGACUGUGAUAACUUCGCGAAACCGGAGCUAAACCGGCUACUUAUAGAUGGUUCUGCGCUGCAUUAGCUAGUUGGUAAGGUAACGGCUUACCAAGGCAACGAUGCAUAGCCGAGCGGCUAGGGUGAUCGGCCACCCUGGAACUGAAACACGGUCCAGACUCAUACGGGAGGCAGCAGUGGGGAAUCUUCCGCAAUGGGCGAAAGGCUGGCGGAGAAAAGCCGCGUGAGUGAAGAAGGUCUUCGGAUCGUAAAACUCUGUUAUUAGGAAAGCGGUAUCUAACCAGAAAGCCACGGCUAACUACGUGCCAGCAGCCGCGGUAAUAC